AACUGAUAAAGGGCAGGAGCGAAAUAUUGUCCGUUCCGGCUUUUAAAUAAGGAAACA
rfam:Enterococcus gilvus ATCC BAA-350 genomic scaffold acEQl-supercont1.3, whole genome shotgun sequence.